GGUGAUGUUGCGAAAAUAAAAUUUUCGGUUCGCGAACGGCGAACGCGAACUUCCGCAAAUGUACGCGAACGGGCGAACCGCCAUAGAGUUCAAUAGGCAGGCGAAUUUUAAAACCCACAGGGACUCUUUCUGGCCACAAUAGUGAUGGAAAAGUUGUUUCAAGGGGACUAACACCUGGACUGUGCAUGCCGGAGGGGGAUCCAUG